UUACGGCCAUAUCACGUUAAAAUACCGGUUCUCGUACGAUCGCUGAUGUGAAGCAAUGUCGAGCCUGGUAAGUAACUAGAUGGGUGACCGCUUAGGAAUAUCAAAUGC